rnacentral:rRNA from 1 species
AUUGGACGCUGGCGGCAUGCCUUACACAUGCAAGUCGAACGGUAACAGGUCUUCGGAUGCUGACGAGUGGCGAACGGGUGAGUAAUACAUCGGAACGUGCCCGAUCGUGGGGGAUAACGAGGCGAAAGCUUUGCUAAUACCGCAUACGAUCUACGGAUGAAAGCGGGGGAUCUUCGGACCUCGCGCGGACGGAGCGGCCGAUGGCAGAUUAGGUAGUUGGUGGGAUAAAAGCUUACCAAGCCGACGAUCUGUAGCUGGUCUGAGAGGAUGAUCAGCCACACUGGGACUGAGACACGGCCCAGACUCCUACGGGAGGCAGCAGUGGGGAAUUUUGGACAAUGGGCGAAAGCCUGAUCCAGCCAUGCCGCGUGCAGGAUGAAGGCCUUUGGGUUGUAAACUGCUUUUGUACGGAACGAAAAGCCUCUUUCUAAUAAAGAGGGGUCAUGACGGUACCGUAAGAAUAAGCACCGGCUAACUACGUG